CAAAAGAUGCAGGCUCAUAAAUGACACCGUGAGAAAGCAACGGACACAUCACAAGGAAAUUUCAAUGGACUUUCCUCAAUAUUGAUACAUAGUCAUCACACAUAACUGACAGAAAGGACAUACAUGCAGGAAGGCAUUCAUGUCGGCUAACGUCAGAGCCUGAACCUUGACCUGAUCAACAAUCACAAUUCACAGUACCCGCUGUUACAUCUGACUCGGACUGGCUAGCUGACCCCAGCAAGCUCGGAGAUUGCGUCAUUAAGAUGUCUGCACUAGUAAGCAAGAGGUCAUGGGUUCGAGUCCCAACCAAGUUCACAUCCCACUCAAACAAAUGCUGCCAUGCAGUGUCAAUUCUGACCUACCUUGGCCUCCGACGAUACAACUUGAACAACUGAUCAAC